rnacentral:rRNA from 1 species
GACGAACGCUGGCGGCGUACUUAACACAUGCAAGUCGAACGGAAAGGCCCUGCUUUUGUGGGGUGCUCGAGUGGCGAACGGGUGAGUAACGCGUGAGUAACCUGCCCUUGACUUUGGGAUAACUUCAGGAAACUGGGGCUAAUACCGGAUAGGAGCUCCUGCUGCAUGGUGGGGGUUGGAAAGUUUCGGCGGUUGGGGAUGGACUCGCGGCUUAUCAGCUUGUUGGUGGGGUAGUGGCUUACCAAGGCUUUGACGGGUAGCCGGCCUGAGAGGGUGACCGGCCACAUUGGGACUGAGAUACGGCCCAGACUCCUACGGGAGGCAGCAGUGGGGAAUAUUGCACAAUGGGCGGAAGCCUGAUGCAGCAACGCCGCGUGCGGGAUGACGGCCUUCGGGUUGUAAACCGCUUUCGCCUGUGACGAAGCGUGAGUGACGGUAAUGGGUAAAGAAGCACCGGCUAACUACGUG